rnacentral:rRNA from 1 species
GAGAAGAGGAACUACCCAGUUAACCAUUCCGAACCUGGAAGUCAAGCUCUUCAUCGCUGA